GUGUAAUUACUGGGACUCUGUGUUCCAUACCCUUUCCCCAAACAGACAAGGUAUCUGACAGUCCUACGUGAUCUUCUGAGGAUGGCAGAUCAGAGUAUUGGAAUUUGAGAUCUACCCAGACAGGACCCUCCACUUCUCCACCAGCUUUCCACCGGUGGAAAGGAGAAGCCAGCCAAGAAUCAGCAGCUUCUGGCUACCUUGAUCAGAAGGUUGAUGAAGGCAAUGAAACAAAGAUGGAAAAACACAUCACACAGG